rnacentral:rRNA from 1 species
CGAACGCUGGCGGCGUGCCUAAUACAUGCAAGUCGAGCGGACAGAAGGGAGCUUGCUCCCGGAUGUUAGCGGCGGACGGGUGAGUAACACGUGGGUAACCUGCCUGUAAGACUGGGAUAACUCCGGGAAACCGGAGCUAAUACCGGAUAGUUCCUUGAACCGCAUGGUUCAAGGAUGAAAGACGGUUUCGGCUGUCACUUACAGAUGGACCCGCGGCGCAUUAGCUAGUUGGUGAGGUAACGGCUCACCAAGGCGACGAUGCGUAGCCGACCUGAGAGGGUGAUCGGCCACACUGGGACUGAGACACGGCCCAGACUCCUACGGGAGGCAGCAGUAGGGAAUCUUCCGCAAUGGACGAAAGUCUGACGGAGCAACGCCGCGUGAGUGAUGAAGGUUUUCGGAUCGUAAAGCUCUGUUGUUAGGGAAGAACAAGUGCAAGAGUAACUGCUUGCACCUUGACGGUACCUAACCAGAAAGCCACGGCUAACUACGUGCCAGCAGCCGCGGUAAUACGUAGGUGGCAAGCGUUGUCCGGAAUUAUUGGGCGUAAAGGGCUCGCAGGCGGUUUCUUAAGUCUGAUGUGAAAGCCCCCGGCUCAACCGGGGAGGGUCAUUGGAAACUGGGAAACUUGAGUGCAGAAGAGGAGAGUGGAAUUCCACGUGUAGCGGUGAAAUGCGUAGAGAUGUGGAGGAACACCAGUGGCGAAGGCGACUCUCUGGUCUGUAACUGACGCUGAGGAGCGAAAGCGUGGGGAGCGAACAGGAUUAGAUACCCUGGUAGUCCACGCCGUAAACGAUGAGUGCUAAGUGUUAGGGGGUUUCCGCCCCUUAGUGCUGCAGCUAACGCAUUAAGCACUCCGCCUGGGGAGUACGGUCGCAAGACUGAAACUCAAAGGAAUUGACGGGGGCCCGCACAAGCGGUGGAGCAUGUGGUUUAAUUCGAAGCAACGCGAAGAACCUUACCAGGUCUUGACAUCCUCUGACAACCCUAGAGAUAGGGCUUUCCCUUCGGGGACAGAGUGACAGGUGGUGCAUGGUUGUCGUCAGCUCGUGUCGUGAGAUGUUGGGUUAAGUCCCGCAACGAGCGCAACCCUUGAUCUUAGUUGCCAGCAUUCAGUUGGGCACUCUAAGGUGACUGCCGGUGACAAACCGGAGGAAGGUGGGGAUGACGUCAAAUCAUCAUGCCCCUUAUGACCUGGGCUACACACGUGCUACAAUGGACAGAACAAAGGGCUGCGAGACCGCAAGGUUUAGCCAAUCCCACAAAUCUGUUCUCAGUUCGGAUCGCAGUCUGCAACUCGACUGCGUGAAGCUGGAAUCGCUAGUAAUCGCGGAUCAGCAUGCCGCGGUGAA